GCGACGCCAAACGAACUCAGUCCCCUGCAGAGUCGGUGCCUUCGGGGCUCCUCCGCGGAGCACUCCCACCCUCAAGAAGAACAUGGAGUGAGGUGUGUCUAAUGAACUGGCAAGAGGUGAGGGUAAAAGGAUCCGGAAGCCUUGGGUGGCGUCUCUACCAGAGGCUCUUGUUACCAUUCAGGGGCAGACCAAGACUGAGGCUGAGGGGAUUCUUCUGUCUGGAAGAAUAACCAGGAGCACCCUGAAUUUGGAAGUCUCUAAAUGAGAAUUAAUGAUAAACGGCCAUGACCAUGGUGCAGGAGACUGCUUAAGAAGGGCUGGAGAUUCUGAAUAGCCCGUCUAGAGGCGUGAACAAACCCUGCAACGUGUGUGCAAAUCUGAAAUAUCUCCUGAUGCACAGAGGAACUCCCCACCCUCUCCCCCACCAGGUCAUACAAGGGAGAAAAAAAAAUGAAAUGCUUUAUCAGGGAAACUGAAAUAUUUCCCUUUUUCUGCAAGUUUCCACAAACCCUAAGAUGGAUUUAUAAGUCAGAGAGUAACAUUUUAUUUUAUUUUUUAAAAUUCAUUAUGCUUUGCACAUGAAGAGUCCUUGAAGAUCCAUUGAAAUGGACUAAUUAUUGUGAGUCUAUUGUGGGCGAGACAAGAAUGUAGGUUGUGCAGAGGGAAUUGAAUCACACCAGUCCAAUGAUCUAUGUGAACAUUUGUGAACAUUUAUAGUCCAAAUUGGCUACUCCUUCUGGUAAACAGUACUCUCCUUGUUCCUGGAAUUGGUAAGCAGGGUUUCUCUUUUGGACUCCACCAGUUCUUAAGAGGUUGUGUUAAGGAUCCAAUGAUCAAGAAGUUUGAAAUUCAAUAUAUGUCAUUCCUAAUUUUUUUCAGAAAUGUCAUUUAAUUUCUAAAUGACAUCUUUCUAACGGUUUAGAAAAUAAGAAAUAUUGUGAAAAUAUUUAACUUAAAAGACUAUUAGUUAAAAACAACACAUUUUUUUGUGAGGAUCACACCCAAUAUUCUCAGGGUUUACCCCUGGCUCAGUACUCUGUACUGAUAACUCCUGGAAGUGCUCAGGGGACUACAUAGGAUGCUGGGGGGACAGGGCCCUACCUGCUAUACUAUAGCUCCAACCCAAGAAUAAGUUUUUUAAAAAAACUGAUUUGGGGGAGUGGGAAAAGUGUUUAGGCUAUACUUGUCUAUACCCACAAGCUAUUCCUGACUCUGUGCUCAAGAGUGACCCUGGCUGUGCUUGGGGCAAAAUAUGUGCUUCUGAGUAUUGAACUAAGGUUGAUGGGAUGGAUGGAAGGCAAGUACCUUACCCCUGUACUAUCUCUCUGGCCUCAAGACUGAAGAGAAAUGAAAACUGUGUCUACAUAAAAACUUUUACACAAAUGUUCACGGAAGCUGAUUUAUAAUAGCUAAAAAGGGUGAGAUGAUCAGAGUUCUUAUCAAUAAAUGAAAAGAUAAACAAUAUAUGGUGUCAUAUAUAUAUAAAAUACAAUAUUUGCUGGCAAUAUAAAAGAAGGACAUAUCGAUGCCAGCUACAACAUUUUGAACUUCAAAAUGUUAUGCUAACUAAAAGCAGCUGAUAGUGAAGAAACAUGUAUAGUAUGAAUCAAUUAUAUGAAAUUUCUAUUAUGGGUAAAACUACAGAAACAGAGAAUCAACUAGUGGUUGCCUUUGGCUGGAGGUCAGAAUGAGGGCAAUAGUAUAGAGGAAUGGUUUCUUUUUGGUGUAAUGAAAACAUUCUAAAAUUAAUUAUAGUGAAAAACUGUGAAUGUGCCCAAAUCAUCAAAUUGUGUAGUUUUUAAUGGGUGAAUUGUAUGACAUGAAGAUUAUAUCUCAAUAAAUCUGUUAAGUUAAAAAAAUAAAACUUUAAAAAUA